rnacentral:rRNA from 1 species
GUUAGGAAUAUUGGACAAUGGGCGAAAGCCUGAUCCAGCCAUGCCGCGUGAACGAUGAAGGCCUUCGGGUUGUAAAGUUCUUUAGCCGAUGAUUAUAAUGACUGUAGUCGGAAAAUAAGCCCCGGCUAACUUCGUGCCAGCAGCCGCGGUAAUACGAAGGGGGCGAGCGUUAUUCGGAAUCACUGGGCGUAAUGCGUGCGUAGGCGGUUUUGUAAGUUAGGAGUGAAAGCCCAGGGCUCAACCUUGGAAUUGCUCUUAAAACUGCAAGGCUCGAAUCUCGGAGAGGAUAGCGGAAUUUCCAGUGUAGCAGUGAAAUGCGUAGAUAUUGGAAGGAACACCAGUGGCGUAAGCGGCUAUCUGGACGAGUAUUGACGCUGAGGCACGAAAGCGUGGGGAUCAAACAGGAUUAGAUACCCUGGUAGUCC